GUACACAUCCUCAAGUUUGAGAUCAUUGUAGAGCGCCUUUACUUUAGCAACACAAGCAGGGUCAUCUUUUCCAUAGUUUUCAUGUAAUAACUUUUUUUGCUCAUCAUUGCAGUGUUCUAGGGCUUUCACUACCAACCAAGAGCACUUGAAAUCUUGAAUAUCCGUGCCAAUCUUACCCAAUACCUCUGGAUCAGCAAAGCAGUCCAAGUAAUCAUCCUGAACUUGGAAAUA
rnacentral:misc_RNA from 1 species